ensembl:lincRNA Gm28075 predicted gene 28075
CUACAGUUUGAAGAUGGAAACUUCUGUGGAGGGAAAGCUAUCAUAGCAGCAUGACAGAAGCAGCUGAUCAGACUUGGUCCUUAGUCAGGACACAGAGAGGUGGAUGACCUGCGACAAGGAGGAAGAAGCCCGCACAGGAAUUACGUUCUUCUCUUUCUCCCUCAGAAGCAAGCCUUAGCCAGCUUGUGCUGUGCCAACAUCAGAGGCAGAACUGAGGUAUGGCAGCAACAUGACCAGGAUGGGAGAGUGCUCUGGAGGAAGCCCCUGAAUUCCUGGCUUAAAAGGGAUAUGAAGUGACUCUCUAGAAAGAGAAAGUGGCUGUGGUAGAUGUCCUCACUCCGUGCUGGUAGAGAU